rnacentral:rRNA from 1 species
AGUGAACGCUGGCGGUAGGCCUAACACAUGCAAGUCGAACGGCAGCACAGUAAGAGCUUGCUCUUACUGGUGGCGAGUGGCGGACGGGUGAGGAAUACAUCGGAAUCUACUUUUUCGUGGGGGAUAACGUAGGGAAACUUACGCUAAUACCGCAUACGACCUACGGGUGAAAGCAGGGGAUCUUCGGACCUUGCGCGAUUGAAUGAGCCGAUGUCGGAUUAGCUAGUUGGCGGGGUAAAGGCCCACCAAGGCGACGAUCCGUAGCUGGUCUGAGAGGAUGAUCAGCCACACUGGAACUGAGACACGGUCCAGACUCCUAAGGGAGGCAGCAGUGGGGAAUAUUGGACAAUGGGCGCAAGCCUGAUCCAGCCAUACCGCGUGGGUGAAGAAGGCCUUCGGGUUGUAAAGCCCUUUUGUUGGGAAAGAAAAGCAGCAGGUUAAUACCCCGCUGUCCUGACGGUACCCAAAGAAUAAGCACCGGCUAACUUCGUG